ACGGGGUGCAGCAGGCGCGAAAACUGACCAAUGCGCGAAAGCGUGAGUCGGUCAAUCCGAGUGUAGACCCAUCGGUUUACUUUUGUCAUGUGUACAACGCUUGGCGAAUAAUGUGAGGGCAAGACUGGUGCCAGCCGCCGCGGUAAAACCAGCUCAUAGAGUGGUGAUCAUGAUUAUUUGGCUUAAAGUGUGCGUAGCAGGGAAUUCUAAGUCCUCUGUGAAAUGUCAGGUCUUAAGCUUGACACGUGCAGAGGAUACUGGAAUCCUUGGGACUGGGAUAGGUGUAAUGUACGGUUUGGGUAGGGGUGAAAUCCGAUAAUCCAAGCCGGACAACCGGUGGCGAAGGCGUUACACUGGAACAGGUCCGACUGUGAGGCACGAAAGCUAGGGUCGCGAGCCGGAUUAGAUACCCGGGUAGUCCUAUGCCGUAAACGAUGCUCACUAAGUGUUAGGUAAUGCAAGACAUUCUCUAGUGCCGAAGCGAAAGCGUUAAGUGAGCCGCCUGGAAGU
rnacentral:rRNA from 1 species